rnacentral:rRNA from 1 species
CGGACGGGUGAGUAAUGUCUGGGAAACUGCCCGAUGGAGGGGGGUAACUACUGGAAACGGUAGCUAAUACCGCAUAACGUCGCAAGACCAAAGCGGGGGACCUCCGGGCCUCGCGCCAUCAGAUGAACCCAUAUGGGAUUAGCUAGUAGGUAAGGUAACGGCUUACCUAGGCGACGAUCCCUAGCUGGUCUGAGAGGAUGAUCAGCCACACUGGAACUGAGACACGGCCCAG